rnacentral:misc_RNA from 1 species
UACGGAGGGUGCAAGCGUUAAUCGGAUUUACUGGGCGUAAAGCGUGCGUAGGCGGUUUGAUAAGUCGGAUGUGAAAGCCCUGGGCUUAACCUGGGAAUUGCACCCGAAACUGUCUAACUAGAGUGUGGUAGAGGAAAGUGGAAUUCCAGGUGUAGCGGUGAAAUGCGUAGAUAUCUGGAGGAACAUCAAUGGCGAAGGCAGCUUUCUGGGCCAACACUGACGCUGAGGUACGAAAGCGUAGGUAGCGAACAGG